CUCGUUUCUUCUUCUUCCUUCUUCAACAAAUCACCAAAGAACCCUCAACACCCUCGAGGUCUCGCGACCCUCCGGCGUUGAUUAGGUCGCGCUGCUCACUGAGGUCUCGGAUCCCGGUGGCCACCAUGAUAGGUCGUCGUUCACUGCGUUGUUCUUAGCGUGCUGGAUCGGUGACGGAAUGUUGUCUGCACUGCAGUCCUUGCCGAUCGUGAAACGGAGCCGGCAUUACAGGACUCUUCGCUUAGUUCUUGAUCACAACAUUGCCAAUUGUGUUAAUGAGAAGUAUAAUGUUGCCUCUUUUACAAGGAUAUGAGCCACACAUACUCUUUACGGUCUUAUAAGGGGACUUCCGUUUGCUUCUUUGGUUGUCCAGUGUUAUGGACAAAAGGAUAUGAGCCACACAAGCAACUUCGCUUAGUUCUUAAUUACGUGGUUUUAGAGUCAUUCGAGUACAAAAGGAUCACAAAUGUGGAGAUCUGAUUGGAAUCAGAUUCCUAAGGUUUACCCUGUGGUGGUCGCCGACAAUUAACAGAGCGAAUGUUUAUUUGGGAUUCCAAGUGCAGUGGGAUCUUAAUGGGAUAUUUACUUACAGAAAGUUUCUACAUUGACGAUUUCUCUAAUCCAGAUAUUCAGCGCUCAUUUUUGGCAAAAGAUCCAUGACAGUGUUGCUAUGGAUCUCUGCCAAGUUCUUCACCAGGAGCUUGAGUCAUUGGAAAUUGGAACUGUCUGAAGGAAACUAUCCACCCGAGGAAGGGAACAGUUCUCGUGCAGACAUUCUCCUCUUUGAUUCUCAUAGAUGGUCUUUGAUGGUUUUGAUUUUCUGCGUACGCUCUGUUUGCAUACAGUUAUAGCAUGGUUUAUGGCCUUUGGAUAUAUUUUCAGUUGGAUGAGGUCAUAUGUCAUGCAUUUUCUGAGUGUUUGAUGCUAAAUUUUUCACAGCCAUGGGAAAGUGAGUUUAUUGAUUUAGGAGACGGGCUGAAUAUGCCUUCAAGAAGCAAGAAGCACAGGCACAAAACGGGUGUUUAACCUUGGAGAUUUGGAGGGCAUUAGAACUUCCGGUUGCGGAUAUUCAAGGAUUAUGCUCCUGCAAAUUCACUGCCUUUGCUUUCAUAGUAUUCAUAGGACAGAGGGAUACCUCGGAUGAAUACACUGUUGCAGGAGGAUAGGCAAUGAGCUUGGAGGUGGUGAAACAAACCCUUCUUGGUGGUCGCACCAGAGGCACGAUCGUAAACUUCGGAACAUGAAUAACUAAUGGAUUGAAGGGGGUUUGCUUCCUACGUUAAGUUAGUGAUCUCACUUUUGUUCACACAGAUGCUAAUCUUGUUUUAUUGCUUCGAGAGUAAUGGGUUCGUUGGAGCACUCAUUGUCAAGUCUGUCGAUUGAUGGUUCCAUUAGAGCAGACGGACAGAGAUUGGAGAGCGUAUAAGAGAAACAAAUGGUAGGACCAUCUCAGAUAUAGGAUCUGGAGGUGGAUCUGGUGGAACUAUCCUUCUGUUUAUUCAUGCGUUGGUCCUUGGUGA